GGCUUGGUAGCUCAGUCGGUAGAGCAGAGGAUUGAAAAUCCUUGUGUCGGUGGUUCGAUUCCGCCCCAGGCCACCA
rnacentral:tRNA from 1 species